rfam:Nomascus leucogenys chromosome 13, whole genome shotgun sequence.
GCUGGGCACAGUGGUGCACACCUGUAGUCCCAACUACUCGGGGGCCUGAGGUGGGAGGAUUGCUUGAGCCCAGGAGUUCCGGGCUGCAGCAUGCCACGGCAAUCAGGUGUCCUCGCUAAGUUUGGUAUCAGUAUGGUGACCUCUGAGGAGGGGGAACCACAAGGUUGCCUAAGGAGGGGUGAACUGACCCAGAGAGAAAAUGAGGCAGGUCAAAACUCCCGUGCAGAUAUGUAGUGGGAUCGCACCUGUGAAUAGCCACAGCACUGGGAACAUAGCAAGACCCUGUCUCUC